rnacentral:rRNA from 1 species
GACCCUCGGGUUGUAAACUCCUGUCGGAGGGGACGAAUGCAUCAGAGGCCAAUACCCUCUGGUGUUGACGGUACCCUACGAGGAAGCCCCGGCUAACUCCGUGCCAGCAGCCGCGGUAAUACGGGGGGGGCAAGCGUUGUUCGGAAUUACUGGGCGUAAAGGGCGCGCAGGCGGGCGAGCAAGUCUCUCGUGAAAUCCCAUGGCUCAACUGUGGAAUUGCGGGAGAUACUGUUCGUCUUGAGUCCGGGAGAGGAGUGUGGAAUUCCGAGUGUAGCGGUGAAAUGCGUAGAUAUUGGGAGGAACACCGGUGGCGAAGGCGGCUCUCUGGACCGGUACUGACGCUGAGGCGCGAAAGCUAGGGGAGCAAACGGGAUUAGAUACCCUGGUAGUCCACGCCGUAAACGAUGUGUGCUAGCCGUUGGGGCACUUGGUGUUUCGGUGGCGCAGCUAACGCGUUAAGCACACCGCCUGGGGAGUACGGCCGCAAGGUUAAAACUCAAAGGAAUUGACGGGGGCCCGCACAAGCGGUGGAGCAUGUGGUUUAAUUCGAUAAUGAGCGAGGAACCUUACCUAGGCUUGACAUCCUUGGAAUUUCCUAGAAACAGGAAAGUGCCUUCUGGAACCAAGUGACAGGUGCUGCAUGGUCGUCGUCAGCUCGUGCCUUGAGGUGUUCGGUUAAGUCCGUAAACGAGCGCAACCCAUGUCCUGUGUUGUAUUUUU